UUCUCUUUAUUUAUCUUCUGAUUGAGCAAUUGUGGGUGGCAUGAAAAUGUGAAAUGGACUGCCUUCAAGUCGAUCCUGACUUAUGGCGACCCUAUGAAUAGGGAUUUCAUGGACCCUUCUGCAGCUGGUAGAACAGACUGAGCAACCAGAGGGAGUGGAACUGUAUAAUUAGAGGGCGGGACCACAAGGAAACAGUGUGACUAAUCCUUUCCAGAGGAAUGCCUACUUGUGUGAAUGGGAAAAAAGAUUGACUGUUAACAUUAAGCAGGAACUGCUGACGGUGCAAAUCAAUAGCGAAGGCACAAUAAUUAAAAAGGCAGUGUAUGGAGAGGUUUAUCUCUUCCCUCCCAGCAUGAUCAGAAUGAACCACCACCACCAGCCCAGGUGAAAUAAACAGGCUUUAAAAUCCUAAACUCUGGCUGGAUCAUAGUCAAAUGAUAUUACACUGCUCGUUCACAAACUCUGAAAGCUAAAAUGUGGGCAACAGAUUGCCAGUAUGUAUAUGCAAAGUAUGUGAUGUUUCAAAAUGAAAUAGAGGGAGAUC